rnacentral:rRNA from 1 species
GUCCACGCCGUAAACGAUGAUAACUAGCUGUCCGGGCACUUGGUGCUUGGGUGGCGCAGCUAACGCAUUAAGUUAUCCGCCUGGGGAGUACGGUCGCAAGAUUAAAACUCAAAGGAAUUGACGGGGGCCUGCACAAGCGGUGGAGCAUGUGGUUUAAUUCGAAGCAACGCGCAGAACCUUACCAGCGUUUGACAUCCCGCGCUAUUUCCAGAGAUGGAAAGUUCCCUUCGGGACGCGUGACAGUGCUGCAUGGCUGUCGU